rnacentral:rRNA from 1 species
UACGGAGGGUGCAAGCGUUAUCCGGAUUUACUGGGUUUAAAGGGUGCGCAGGCGGAUAUGUAAGUCAGUGGUGAAAUCUCUAGGCUUAACCUGGAAAUUGCCGUUGAUACUAUAUAUCUUGAAUGCUGUGGAGGUAAGCGGAAUAUGUCAUGUAGCGGUGAAAUGCUUAGAUAUGACAUAGAACACCUAUUGCGAAGGCAGCUUACUACGCAGAUAUUGACGCUCAUGCACGCAAGCGUGGGGAUCAAACAGG